GGCAAGAUGACCGAGUUGGUUAAGGUGUGAGGUUAAGGAUCACCUUAGCAUCCAAUUCCUCAUGGAGCAAUCCGCGUGGGUUCGAAUCCCACUCUUGUCA